GAUGAACGCUGGCGGCGUGCCUAAUACAUGCAAGUCGAGCGAACGGACGAGAAGCUUGCUUCUCUGAUGUUAGCGGCGGACGGGUGAGUAACACGUGGAUAACCUACCUAUAAGACUGGGAUAACUUCGGGAAACCGGAGCUAAUACCGGAUAAUAUUUUGAACCGCAUGGUUCAAAAGUGAAAGACGGUCUUGCUGUCACUUAUAGAUGGAUCCGCGCUGCAUUAGCUAGUUGGUAAGGUAACGGCUUACCAAGGCAACGAUGCAUAGCCGACCUGAGAGGGUGAUCGGCCACACUGGAACUGAGACACGGUCCAGACUCCUACGGGAGGCAGCAGUAGGGAAUCUUCCGCAAUGGGCGAAAGCCUGACGGAGCAACGCCGCGUGAGUGAUGAAGGUCUUCGGAUCGUAAAACUCUGUUAUUAGGGAAGAACAUAUGUGUAAGUAACUGUGCACAUCUUGACGGUACCUAAUCAGAAAGCCACGGCUAACUACGUGCCAGCAGCCGCGGUAAUACGUAGGUGGCAAGCGUUAUCCGGAAUUAUUGGGCGUAAAGCGCGCGUAGGCGGUUUUUUAAGUCUGAUGUGAAAGCCCACGGCUCAACCGUGGAGGGUCAUUGGAAACUGGAAAACUUGAGUGCAGAAGAGGAAAGUGGAAUUCCAUGUGUAGCGGUGAAAUGCGCAGAGAUAUGGAGGAACACCAGUGGCGAAGGCGACUUUCUGGUCUGUAACUGACGCUGAUGUGCGAAAGCGUGGGGAUCAAACAGGAUUAGAUACCCUGGUAGCCCACGCCGUAAACGAUGAGUGCUAAGUGUUAGGGGGUUUCCGCCCCUUAGUGCUGCAGCUAACGCAUUAAGCACUCCGCCUGGGGAGUACGACCGCAAGGUUGAAACUCAAAGGAAUUGACGGGGACCCGCACAAGCGGUGGAGCGUGUGGUUUAAUUCGAAGCAACGCGAAGAACCUCACCAAAUCUUGUCAUCCUUUGACAACUCUAGAGAUAGAGCCUUCCCCUUCGGGGGACAAAGUGACAGGUGGUGCAUGGUUGUCGUCAGCUCGUGUCGUGAGAUGUUGGGUUAAGUCCCGCAACGAGCGCAACCCUUAAGCUUAGUUGCCAUCAUUAAGUUGGGCACUCUAAGUUGACUGCCGGUGACAAACCGGAGGAAGGUGGGGAUGACGUCAAAUCAUCAUGCCCCUUAUGAUUUGGGCUACACACGUGCUACAAUGGACAAUACAAAGGGCAGCGAAACCGCGAGGUCAAGCAAAUCCCAUAAAGUUGUUCUCAGUUCGGAUUGUAGUCUGCAACUCGACUACAUGAAGCUGGAAUCGCUAGUAAUCGUAGAUCAGCAUGCUACGGUGAAUACGUUCCCGGGUCU
rnacentral:rRNA from 1 species